rnacentral:tRNA from 1 species
GCGGAUGUGGUGAAAUGGCAGACACGCUAGCUUCAGGAGCUAGUGCUCGCAAGAGCGUGAGAGUUCGAAUCUCUCCAUCCGCACCA